rnacentral:rRNA from 1 species
GUGAGGAAUAUUGCGCAAUGGAGGCAACUCUGACGCAGCCAUGCCGCGUGCAGGAAGAAGGCGCUACGCGUUGUAAACUGCUUUUAACCGGGAAGAAACCCCAGGACGUGUCCUGGGUUGACGGUACCGGAGGAAUAAGCACCGGCUAACUUCGUGCCAGCAGCCGCGGUAAUACGAAGGGUGCAAGCGUUAUCCGGAUUCAUUGGGUUUAAAGGGUGCGUAGGCGGAGCGUUAAGUCAGUGGUGAAAUCCUGCAGCUUAACUGUAGACUUGCCAUUGAUACUGGCGCGCUUGAGUGCGCUUGAAGUGGGCGGAAUGUGCCGUGUAGCGGUGAAAUGCUUAGAUAUGGCACAGAACACCAAUUGCGAAGGCAGCUCACUAAGGCGAUACUGACGCUGAGGCACGAAAGCGUGGGGAUCGAACAGGAUUAGAAACCCUUGUAGUCC